rnacentral:rRNA from 1 species
CUCCUGGAAACGGGUGGUAAUGCCGGAUGCUCCAGUUGAUCGCAUGGUCUUCUGGGAAAGCUUUCGCGGUAUGGGAUGGGGUCGCGUCCUAUCAGCUUGACGGCGGGGUAACGGCCCACCGUGGCUUCGACGGGUAGCCGGCCUGAGAGGGCGACCGGCCACAUUGGGACUGAGAUACGGCCCAGACUCCUACGGGAGGCAGCAGUGGGGAAUAUUGCACAAUGGGCGCAAGCCUGAUGCAGCGACGCCGCGUGAGGGAUGGAGGCCUUCGGGUUGUAAACCUCUUUUAUCGGGGAGCAAGCGAGAGUGAGUUUACCCGUUGAAUAAGCACCGGCUAACUACGUGCCAGCAGCCGCGGUAAUACGUAGGGUGCAAGCGUUAUCCGGAAUUAUUGGGCGUAAAGGGCUCGUAGGCGGUUCGUCGCGUCCGGUGUGAAAGUCCAUCGCUUAACGGUGGAUCCGCGCCGGGUACGGGCGGGCUUGAGUGCGGUAGGGGAGACUGGAAUUCCCGGUGUAACGGUGGAAUGUGUAGAUAUCGGGAAAGAACACCA